rnacentral:rRNA from 1 species
GAGUUUGAUCGUGGCUCAGAUUGAACGCUGGCGGCAGGCUUAACACAUGCAAGUCGAGCGGGGGAGGUUGCUUCGGUAACUGACCUAGCGGCGAACGGGUGAGUAAUACUUAGGAAUCUGCCUAUUAAUGGGGACAACAUCUCGAAAGGGAUGCUAAUACCGCAUACGCCCUACGGGGGAAAGCAGGGGAUCACUUGUGACCUUGCGUUAAUAGAUGAGCCUAAGUCGGAUUAGCUAGUUGGUGGGUAAAGCCUACAAGGCGACGAUCUGUAGCGGGUCUGAGAGGAUGAUCCGCCACACUGGGACUGAGACACGGCCCAGACUCCUACGGGAGGCAGCAGUGGGGAAUAUUGGACAAGUGGGGGAACCCUGAUCCAGCCAUGCCGCGUGUGUGAAGAAGGCCUUAUGGUUGUAAAGCACUUUAAGCGAGGAGGAGGCUCUUCUAGUUAAUACCUAGGAUGAGUGGACGUUACUCGCAGAAUAAGCACCGGCUAACUCUGUGCCAGCCGCGCCGU